rnacentral:lncRNA from 1 species
CGUGCAAGUCGUAGCAUUUAUAGCUAUGCAGCUCGUGGGAUUUGAAUUUGUGACCACUCCAUCACAUAAUACCUCCUCUAACCACUACACUACACACUCACAUGUGUGUAAUUCAUUUCAGUUCCUUACAUAUUAUAUUAAACCGAGUUAUCAACUACAAAAUUUCAUAACUUUUCGAGAUCUACACUUUUUAUUCAGAAAUUUUCUCCAUCCAAGGUC